UGGUAGCGUGGAUUAGGCAUGGCGAAGUCGGACGGGAGUCCGGGGGAUAGCAAUAUUCCCCGGUGAGAGUGGCGGAUUGGGAGGAGCACGUGAGCAACCUGCCCUUGGGACGGGAAAACCGCUGGAAACGGCGGCUAAUACCGGAUGCGGCGCCGGGCGACAUCGCCCGAGCGUCAAAGGGGGCCGCAAGGCUCCCGCCCGAGGAGGGGCUCGCGCACCAUCAGCUUGUUGGCGGGGUAACGGCCCACCAAGGCCUACGGUUGGCUGGUCUGAGAGGAUGACCAGCCCCACUGGGACUGAGACACUGCCCAGACUCCUACGGGAGGCUGCAGUCGAGGAUCAUUUGCAAUGGGCGAAAGCCUGACAAUGCGACGCUGCGUGGAGGAUGAAGGCCUUCGGGUCGUAAACUCCUGUCAUGGGGGAACAGGCGAGGGGACCCAACACGUCCCUUAGUUGAGUGUACUCCAAGAGGAAGGGACGGCUAACUCUGUGCCAGCCGCUGC
rnacentral:rRNA from 1 species